GACGAACGCUGGCGGCGUGCUUAACACAUGCAAGUCGAACGGAAAGGCCUGCUUUCCCUUGUGGAUUGCGGGUACUCGAGUGGCGAACGGGUGAGUAACACGUGAGUGAUCUGCCCCCAACUUGGGGAUAAGCCCGGGAAACUGGGUCUAAUUCCCGAUAGGACUGCAGGGUGGUGCCUGUGGUGGAAAACGAUUUUCUAGUGGUUGGGGAUGAGCUCGCGGCCUAUCAGCUUGUUGGUGGGGUAAUGGCCUACCAAGGCGGCGACGGGUAGCCGGCCUGAGAGGGUGGACGGCCACAUUGGGACUGAGAUACGGCCCAGACUCCUACGGGAGGCAGCAGUGGGGAAUAUUGCACAAUGGGCGGAAGCCUGAUGCAGCGACGCCGCGUGGGGGAUGACGGCCUUCGGGUUGUAAACUCCUUUCGACCGCGAGGAAGCCACCUGGUUGGAAGGGUGGUGACGGUAGUGGUAGAAGAAGCACCGGCUAACUACGUG
rnacentral:rRNA from 1 species